CUAUGCGCCUUGCCAGCCCGCUCAGUCAGAGUUUGAUCCUGGCUCAGGAUGAACGCUAGCGGCAGGCCUAAUACAUGCAAGUCGAACGAGAUCAGAGACUUCGGUUUCUGGUUUAGUGGCGCACGGGUGCGUAACGCGUAUGCAACCUACCUUCCACAGGGGGAUAGCCUUCCGAAAGGGAGAUUAAUACCGCAUAACAUCAUUUGAGGGCAUCCGAAGAUGAUCAAAGCUUUGGCGGUGGAAGAUGGGCAUGCGUGCCAUUAGUUAGUUGUAGGUAACGGCCUACCAAGACUUCGAUGGCUAGGGGUUCUGAGAGGAUGGUCCCCCACACUGGUACUAAGACACGGACCAG
rnacentral:rRNA from 1 species